rnacentral:rRNA from 1 species
AUUGAACGCUGGCGGCAGGCUUAACACAUGCAAGUCGAGCGAGCGGCGGACGGGUGAGUAAUGUCUGGGAAAAUGCCUGAUGGUGGGGGAUAACUACUGGAAACGGUAGCUAAUAGCGCAUACCAUCAGAUGUGCCCAGAUGGGAUUAGCCAGGAGGUGGGGUAAUGGCUCACCUAGGCGACGAUGCCUAGCUGGUCUGAGAGGAUGCCCAGCUACACUGGAACUGAGACACGGUCCAGACUCCUCCGGGACGCAGCAGUGGGGAAUAUUGCACAAUGGUCGCACGCCUCAUGCCGCCAUGCCGCGUGUGUGAAGCAGACCUUCGGUUUGUAAAGCACUUUCUGCGAGGAGGCGUUACUCGCAGAAGAAGCACCGGCUAACUCCGUGCCAGCAGCCGCGGUAAUUC